rnacentral:hammerhead_ribozyme from 1 species
AUCCAGCUGACGAGUCCUAAAUAGGACGAAACGUGUGUCAAACUGGAU